rnacentral:lncRNA from 1 species
UAUGCUUUUGCUCCCUAUUCAAAAUUACGAUUUUGCCCUCAGUUCAAAAUUUUGAUUUUGCUCCAUGUCUUUUUGUCCCCAGCUUAAAAUUAUGAUUUUGUGCUUAGUGCAAAGUUAUAUUACGAUUUUGUCUCCGGUUCAAAUUUAUAGUAUUGCCAUCACUUUAACUUUUGCCAAAUUAUGAUUUUACCCAAGUCAACAGAUACAACUUUGCCCUUGGUUCAAAUUAC